UUCCCUGUGGCUCAGUUGGUAGAGCAUGGUGUUUGCAACGCCAGCAUGGUGUGUGAAACACCAGGGUUGUGGGUUUGAUUCCCACGGGGGACC
rfam:Salmo salar isolate Sally breed double haploid chromosome ssa23, whole genome shotgun sequence.